rnacentral:lncRNA from 1 species
AAGUUACCGUCUCAAAAAAAAAAAAAAAAAAGGAAAUGGGGUCUCACUCUGUUGCUCAGGCUGGUCUUGAACUUCUGAAUUUAAGUGAUCGUCCCCCUUUGGCCUCCUAAAGUGCUGGGAUUACAGGCGUGGCCCACCACGCCUGGCUCUGCUGUUAGAUUUUGAACAACUGCUUUAAUGGGGUGGAGCGGUAGGUUCCUGGGGAGUGGAGGCCAGACCACACAAGGUGGGUAAAGGCAGCUGUAGGCCUUUGCAGACCUCAUGAAGUGUUUGCUUCUGGUCUAGCCUUGUGCUGGGUGCUGAGUGGGAAAGGAACAAGAGAGACAACUGUGGUUCUUUGCCUUCAAGACCACAAGACCUUGGGGACAAGAAGGUGGCUGGUUUUUCACUGUGGGGCCACUGCAUGGCCCUGGGGUUUCUGAGAUCCCACCUAGAACAGCUCCCACCCUGUAGCUGGGUGAGCAGAGGGUGGCUGUGUCCUGGGUCUCUGUCUGGGGUGGUGGGCGGGUGUCAAUGGGGACAUGGGAUAUCAGAUCCUAGGGCUCCCAUGCUGACCCCUGUGUCCUUGGCAGAUAUCCCGCCCAGGUACCCGUUCCAAGCCCUGCCACCGCACUACGGGAGGCCCUACCCUUUCCUGCUGCAGCCCACGGCGGCCGCCGACGCGGACGGCUUGGCCCCUGAUGUGCCGCUCCCGGCUGAUGGGCCCGAGCGCCUGGCACUCUCACCCGAAGACAAGCCCAUCCGCUUGUCCCCCUCCAAGAUUACAGAGCCGCUGCGGGAGGGCCCGGAGGAAGAACCGCUGGCUGAGCGGGAGGUGAAGGCAGAGGUGGAGGACAUGGAUGAGGGCCCCACAGAGCUGCCGCCUCUGGAGUCGCCGCUGCCACUGCCCGCCGCGGAAGCCAUGGCUACCCCCAGCCCUGCAGGGGGUUGUGGAGGUGGCCUGUUGGAGGCCCAGGCGCUGAGUGCCACCGGGCAGAGCUGCGCAGAGCCCUCUGAGUGUCCAGACUUUGUGGAGGGGCCUGAACCACGGGUGGAUUCCCCGGGCCGGACAGAACCCUGCACCGCCGCCCUGGACCUGGGGGUGCAGCUGACAACCGAGACGCUGGUGGAGGCCAAGGAGGAGCCGGUGGAGGUGCCUGUGGCGGUGCCCGUGGUGGAGGCAGUGCCCGAGGAAGGCCUGGCGCAGGUGGCACCGAGCGAGUCCCAGCCCACCCUAGAAAUGUCAGACUGUGACGUGCCCGCCGGGGAGGGACAGUGCCCGAGCCUGGAGCCCCAAGAGGCCGUGCCUGUACCCGGCAGCACCUGCUUCCUGGAAGAGGCAAGCUCUGACCAGUUCCUGCCCAGUCUGGAGGACCCACUGGCUGGCAUGAAUGCCCUGGCGGCAGCUGCGGAGCUGCCCCAGGCCAGGCCUCUGCCCUCCCCGGGUGCUGCUGGAGCCCAGGCCUUGGAGAAGCUGGAAGCAGCCGAGAGCCUUGUCUUGGAGCAGAGCUUCCUGCAUGGCAUCACCCUGCUAAGUGAGAUCGCAGAGCUGGAGCUGGAGAGGAGGAGCCAAGAGAUGGGAGGUGUGGAGCGGGCCCUGGUGGCGCGGCCCUCCCUGGAGAGUCUGCUGGCAGCUGGCAGCCACAUGCUGAGGGAGGUGCUGGAUGGGCCCGUGGUGGACCCACUCAAGAACCUGCGGCUCCCGCGGGAGCUGAAGCCCAACAAGAAGUACAGCUGGAUGCGGAAGAAGGAGGAGCGGAUGUACGCCAUGAAGUCCUCCCUGGAGGACAUGGAUGCCCUGGAGCUGGACUUCCGGAUGCGGUUGGCCGAGGUGCAGCGCCAGUACAAGGAGAAGCAGCGGGAGCUGGUGAAGCUGCAGCGCCGCCGGGACUCCGAGCUAAGCAGCAAGUCUCUACUGACAUCAGAUGAUUACGAGCUCGGAGCAGGGAUAAGAAAGAGACACAAGGGGUCUGAGGAGGAACACGAUGCCCUCAUCGGAAUGGGGAAAGCCAGGGGGAGGAACCAGACUUGGGAUGAACAUGAGGCCUCGUCCGACUUCAUCAGUCAGCUAAAGAUUAAGAAGAAGAAGAUGGCCAGCGACCAGGAGCAGUUGGCAAGCAAGCUCGACAAGGCCCUCUCCCUCACCAAGCAGGACAAGUUGAAGUCGCCCUUCAAGUUUUCGGACAGUGCUGGGGGGAAAUCGAAAACUAGCGGGGGCUGCGGCAGGUACUUGACUCCUUACGACAGCCUGCUGGGGAAGGACAGGAAGGCGCUGGCCAAGGGCCUCGGCCUGUCUCUGAAAUCCUCCAGAGAAGGUAAACACAAAAGGGCAGCCAAAACCAGGAAGAUGGAGGUGGGGUUCAAGGCCAGAGGCCAGCCCAAGUCGGCCCAUUCCCCGUUUGCCUCGGAAGUGAGCAGCUACUCUUACAAUACGGACUCAGAGGAAGACGAAGAAUUCCUGAAGGACGAGUGGCCCGCCCAAGGCCCCUCCAGCUCCAAACUGACGCCUUCCCUCCUGUGUAGCAUGGUGGCAAAGAACAGCAAGGCAGCUGGUGGCCCCAAGCUGACCAAGAGGGGCCUGGCGGCCCCCCGGACUCUGAAACCCAAGCCGGCCACCAGCAGGAAGCAGCCGUUUUGUUUGCUGCUUCGAGAGGCGGAGGCGCGUUCCUCCUUCAGCGACUCUUCGGAGGAAUCGUUUGACCAAGAUGAGAGCUCGGAGGAGGAGGACGAGGAGGAGGAGCUUGAGGAGGAGGACGAGGCCAGCGGUGGCGGCUACAGGCUGGGUACCCGGGAGCGGGCCCUGUCGCCGGGCCUGGAGGAGAGUGGGCUGGGCCUGCUGGCACGCUUUGCCGCCAGCGCCCUCCCCAGCCCCACGGUGGGUCCAUCCCUGUCUGUGGUACAGCUGGAGGCCAAGCAGAAGGCCCGGAAGAAAGAGGAGCGGCAGAGCCUGCUGGGCACAGAGUUCGAGUACACCGACUCAGAGAGCGAGGUCAAGGUGCGCAAGCGGUCGCCUGCGGGGCUGCUGCGGCCCAAGAAGGGGCUGGGGGAGCCGGGACCCUCCCUGGCCGCACCCACGCCUGGCGCCCGCGGUCCCGGCCCCAGCAGCCCAGACAAGGCCAAGCUGGCGGUGGAGAAGGGGCGCAAGGCCCGGAAGCUGCGGGGCCCAAGGAGCCUGGCUUCGAGGCGGGGCCCGAGGCCAGC